GCUGGUCUGUGGUGAGCCAUGGAUGCUGGUCUCUGAUCCAUACGAUGGGGUUUGUUAAGGUUGUCAAGAAUAAGGCUUACUUCAAGAGAUACCAAGUGAAAUUUAGAAGACAUCGAGAGGGUAAAACUGAUUAUUAUGCCAGGAAAUGCUUGGUAAUUCAAGAUAAAAAUAAGUACAACACACCUAAAUACAGGAUGAUAGUUCAUGUAACCAACAGAGAUAUCAUCUGUCAGAUUGCUUAUGCCCGCAUAGAAGGAGAUAUGAUAGUUUGUGCAGCUUAUGCUCAUGAACUCCCAAAGUAUGGUGUGAAAGUUGGCCUGACAAAUUACACUGUAGCAUAUUGUACCAGCCUGCUGCUGGCCUGCAGGCUCCUUAAUAGGUUUGGCAUGGACAAGAUCUAUGAAGGCCAAGUGGAAGUGACUGGAGAUGAAUACAAUGUGGAAAGCAUUGAUGGUCAACCUGGUGCCUUCACCUGCUGUUUGGAUGCAGGGCUUGCCAGAACUACUACUGGAAAUAAGGUUUUGGGGGCCCUCAAGGGAGCAGUGGAUGGAGGCUUGUCUAUCCCUCACAGUACCAAACUAUUCCCUGGUUAUGAUUCAGAAAGCAAGGAAUUCAAUGCAGAAGUACAUCAAAAGCACAUCAUGGGUCAGAAUGUUGCAGAUUAUAUGCGUUACCUAAUGGAAGAAGACAAAGAUGCAUACAAGAAACAAUUCUCUCGAUACAUAAAGAACAAUGUAACUCCAGACAUGAUGGAGGAGAUGUAUAAGAAAGCUCAUGCUGCUAUACGAGAGAACCCAGUCUAUGAGAAGAAGCCUAAGAAGGAAGUUAAAAAGAAGAGGUGGAACCAUCCCAAAAUGUGUCUUGCCCAAAAGAAAGAUCGGAUAGCUCAGAAGAAGGCAAGCUUCCUUUGAGCUCAGGAGUGGGCUGUUGAGAGCUAAUAAA